UCAUUCUUAGCCAAUUAUGUCCGUUUAAAUUCCCUUAACCGCUAUUGUAGCAGUUCUCAGCGGUUUCAAUGGCUGGCGGUUAAGUCCACAUUUUCCUGUCCAUCUUCCCCACAAAUAACUGCUAUGGUAGCAUUUCUUAGCAGUUUUGUUGCAUGUUAAUAAUUCCCCCUUUCCGGACCAGUUACAACUUACAAGCAGUUAUGGUGCCCUUUUUACCACCCACCUCGCUGGUAACCUCCAUCCAAUAUAAACUCCCCACAUCUCACUUUUUGUGGAUGUGUUGAUGAAGAAUAAAGGAGAGAGAGGGAGAGAAGGAACUCCGGCGACACCAUCACCGCCCCAUCUGCUCUAUGCCCUGUGCUUCUACCGCCUUUUCUCUCACAGUGAAAUUGGGAGAAGAACAAGAGUAUGAUCGGAAGAUUAUGAGGUGCACACAACCAUAUGACAGAUUUAUAGGGUUUCUAAACAAGAACAAGAGGAAUGACCGGAACAUCAAAAAUCGAUCAUCAUGAAUGUGUAUGUACCAGUACAUCGUUUUCUUAUCUUUUCUCAAUAUUUUCUUCUCAAAAUGCAUUAAUUCUUCACUUUUCUAUUUGGCACCUAAAGUGACUUGCAACCAGAAUAUAAACCGCAGAAAGGUUAUACCAUAGCGUUUGUUUCAAACUCUCAAUUUCUGGGGCAUAUGUCUGGUUGCAAAUUUGAAAGACCUAUUAGCCGAAAGAGGGGCAUGUGGGGUGUUUAUCGCUUAUUUGGACAACAAGGGGUCUGACCAAACAGUUCAAGAUGCACUUACAGCUCUUGGAUGUAGGGAACAUAUGGGUGGGUGGGGGCCUGAUAAUGGUUCGGGUGAUAGGUCGGGUGUGAUGACUUCAAUUCUAUGGGAAUUUUUCAAUAACUGGGCUGGAAAGGAAACCACCGCAGUUAUGGAAGGAGAGUAAAAUGUUUCAUGCUGUUCGCCAUUUUUUACGGCCUGGGGCAAAAAAGUUUGGAUUAAAACCACCAUAGGAAAAGUUUGAAUUUGUAAAAUCAUCAACUAUUACUUUUUUUUCUAAUAAAAGAAGCUUCUUAAAGCAACCAGAGGAAAACUGCCAAUAAUUGCUGGUUGGAUUUGAAUCUCAUCUCAUCUAAUCUUCGUUCAGAACUUCAGUUUUCGGUUUUCGACGAGCAAGCACCACCCCGUUAGGAAUCCUAAAGUUUCCUUGAUACUGAUACUCGAUCAGUAGGAGAAAAAGGUAAAUCCGUGUCAGCUCGCUCAUUCCGAUAAUCAAAAGCCUCCCGGAGUUCAAUCGCUACACCCACGCCCUCAAGGUCUGUGUACUGUUACUUCCUCAAGUUCAUAUUCUGGUGAUGUACAUUAUUUUUUUUCGAAUAUUGAAAUUUAUAGAUUAUUGCCACAUUGAAGCUUUGUGAUUGUCAUGGUUGAAUAUGUAUGGGGCAUAUAUAAUAGUAAGUUAUUUAAAAAUGAUAUUUAUGGCAUGCGACCUAUUGGUAGCAACAAUGAAAGCUGUAUAAUGUAUUUUGAUCUAUUACCUUACGGCUUAAACUCUUACCUUUCUUAAUAGGAGGCAUUGAGAGUUUGUCUUUCGGUUUGAAAACAGGGCAAAGUUUAUCUAAUACCAAAUGUGAUUUUUGAUUCAUGUUUAUUUUGUCUAAAAGGACUCUAACUGUGUGACAGAUAACAUUUUGUCCAUCGGCCUCAAAUCAAUAGAUAAGUGGUUGAUUCUACUUUUAGAGUGUAAUUUAUGCUUCUGUAGCUUUAUUUGAUAGUGUGUUCCCAGCUGUGCCAUUUCUUUCUUAAGAUAUGUGUAGAUUACUUGAGAAAUAUGUCCGACGAAGUGGCGAUGAGGUGUUUGUUUGUAGGACCUUAAAGAUUGAUGUCAACCGAGUGACAAAACAGAAUUGAAAGUGAUAAAUGCUUAGAGGCGUGCGGUCUUGCCAGUAUUGUUCUCGCAAUCUCAUCUGAUUCCCUUCCCGGCUCCCCGUUCAUACAGAAUCUAUGCUCGACUUAGUGUUAGAAUGGUUGUCCCAACAUUUUUUAUCUCUACUUCAGUCUCACUGCUGGUGAAGGUAAUGACAAAUUUUGACUUUAUUAACAUAUGUUUGACUCUACUUAACCUUCAUAUCUAUUAUAUGAAAAACUGUAUAUUUUCCGAGCCUAUGUAAAACACAAGGAGAUAGUAAAAGAGAGGGAUGAGUGAAAUCAGGAGCUUGCUCUACAUAGCACUUGAACCCACAGUCUCUGCAAAACUUAUGGUUAAUGGUUCCCCGGUCGAGGCUCCAUCUCCCACUGGCUCCUAUUAGUUACUAAAUCUUCUAGAAGGGGAGGUUGGCAGCAGUUAGGCACUCUCUCAUCUAGCUCUUUUUUCUCCGGACAAGUUAUGUAGUUACGUGGUUUCAUCCCCCCACUCUCCUCAUUACUCCACCCGACCUUCAAUGAAUUUUGCAAUCGGUGAAUCGAUAUCUGAUCGCUGAUUGAAGAUUUUUUUUUAACUCCAGCAAAGAAAAAGUUAAACCAAACGGUUCAACAUCCAAGUUUUCAUGUCCGAUUGAAGUUAUGAAGAGGGCAAAACCCCAAUUGAUUGAAAUUUUGGGGCUGCAUCUAAAGGAAUUUGUUUCUUUUCUUCGUCUUCACCUGUCCAACUUUCUUCGUCGUCAUAUAAUCUGAUCCUCCCUCUUCUCUCUCCUUUCUUCAGGUAUGUUUUGCUUUUCGUUGUUUCAAAGGUUUUUUUCUCAUAGAUUGAUAUGUUUAGCUUAUGUAUUCAUCGUAGUUAUUGGCAAGUUUUUAUUGAUCCAUUUUGUGUUUAUGGUUUUGCAUCUCUGUUUUUAAUUUUUGAGUUAAGUGAAUCCCAGGUAAGAAGAUAGAGCUUCGAACAUCUGAGAAGGGGCAGGACGAAAUGCACGUCAAAUUUAAAUCCGGUCAAGCUGAGGGGCAGGAGCAGGAGCAAAUGCACUGACUGCAUUUAAAUCUGAUGAAGCUAGGUGUAAUACCCCAGACUUUCAAAGAUAAGCGACCCCUGAUUUGACUAUUCAGUGUGCGAAUUGGAAUCCGGGAUCAAAGAUGGAAAAUUUGGAUUUUGAGGGUCAUAACGGACCGUCACUAUUGAUAUAACGACUUUUAUGAGAUUUUGAGUGGCCGCGUACCAUGUGGAAAAGGCUUGGUAACGGACCGUUACCAAAACCAUAAUGGUCCGUUACGGAAUGGCUAAGGGCAUAGCCAGGAGGUGACACGUGUCUGGAUGACUAAUCAUCGGUAACGUACCAUCACUGUCACGGUCCAUUUCGUGUCCACAGUGCAGAUAUUAGUCCACAAGACUCCACCCUUUUGUAUGAUGUCGUGGAAGUCCGGUAUGCCACACCAUACUCAAGAAGAUGCGGAAACUCAAUAUCAUUGUUACAUAGUAACUCGCCAGGGAUUGAAAUAUAAAUGCUCACUUUCUUUAAUAAUAAAAUUAACAUUACUUGGUUAGAAUCACACGGUGAUGUGUGAUUCUUAGUCGUAGUCAACUAGCAUACAAUGACAUUGAUUAGAAUAUUUGGCUAUAUUGAAUAAGUCUAAUGAACCUAGAACAAUGUACUUAAUAUAUUACUUGAAUUUUUUGUUGUUA